ACAUAACGAUUUUAUUAUUAUUAUUAUUAUUAUUGUUAUUAUUUUUUUUUUUAAAUGUUCUUUAAUCAUGUUAACAAUUUCUAGAUCUAUCUCUAUCUUUCUCUUUCUAUUUUAUUCUCGGUGUCAUAGAAAAGAAAAAGAGGAAUAUAUAUUUACUCCGUUAUUUGUGUGUAAUUAUAACAGACAGGUAAAUCCCGAUGUUGGAAAACUACAUGAUGAUGAUAAUGAUGAUGAUAAUGAUAAUAAUGGUAAUGACGAUCAUGAUGAGAAGGGUAAAGAUGAUUCAGUGUUUCCAAAUUUGGAGCGAAGGUAUUGAGAGAAAGGGAAAAAGAGACAGAGAGAGAGAUAGAGAUAGAGGGACAAAGGGAAAGAAGAGAGAGAAAAAAAAGCACAUGUUUAUGAUGACCAUAUCUAUAUAUGCAAUUUCCACGGUCUUUAAUUCAAGAGAUUAUGGAAUACACGAAGAAGUUCUAUCUUUUCGUUUACGUAAGCACGAUGUAACGUGACUUCGAAGAGACAAAAAAAAAAAGAAGAAUAAGAAAAAGAAAAAAGAGAAUUUUAUUCGAAGCAAUGGGAAAGAGAGACGAAACAAAAGAAGUUGAAUUAAAUUAGAACGUGCCAAAAUGUUUCCAAGUGAUUUUAAAUGUCAAUUACUCUUUCUUUUUUUUUUUUUUUUUAAUCUGUAAUCAUGUCUGCAAGAGGAAAAAAAAAAGAAAAAAGAAAGGAAGGAAAAUCAAAAGCUCGAAGAAUCAUGGGAAAAAAGUGAGAUUGAUUAUAUAAUAGAAUUUAGAGACAACUUUUUUAAUAGCAUUUUGUGGAAUUAAAAGAGAACAAACAAAUAAAAUAAUCUGAUUGUUUG